rfam:Coniochaeta ligniaria NRRL 30616 unplaced genomic scaffold CONLIGscaffold_4, whole genome shotgun sequence.
GGUCCGAUGGUGUAGUUGGUUAUCACGUGUGCCUCACAACGGAACGCACAAGGUCGCCGGUUCGAGCCCGGCUCGGAUCA